UACGUAGGGCGCAAGCGUUAUCCGGAAUUAUUGGGCGUAAAGAGCUCGUAGGCGGUUUGUCGCGUCUGCCGUGAAAGUCCGGGGCUCAACUCCGGAUCUGCGGUGGGUACGGGCAGACUAGAGUGAUGUAGGGGAGACUGGAAUUCCUGGUGUAGCGGUGAAAUGCGCAGAUAUCAGGAGGAACACCGAUGGCGAAGGCGGCAUCCUGGACCAUUACUGACGCUGAGUGAGCGAAAGCCAGGGGAGCAAACGGG
rnacentral:rRNA from 1 species